rnacentral:rRNA from 1 species
UACGUAGGGUGCAAGCGUUGUCCGGAAUUAUUGGGCGUAAAGAGCUCGUAGGCGGUCUGUCGCGUCGGCUGUGAAAUCCCGAGGCUCAACCUCGGGUCUGCAGUCGAUACGGGCAAACUAGAGUAUUGCAGGGGAGACUGGAAUUCCUGGUGUAGCGGUGAAAUGCGCAGAUAUCAGGAGGAACACCGGUGGCGAAGGCGGUUCUCUGGGCCUUACCUGACACUGAGGAGCGAAAGCGUGGGGAGCGAACAGG